UAUAUUGUGGCCAGAGUGGUAAGAGCAUCCUCCUCGGAUGCGGAAGGUAGCGGGUUAAAACCCCGGCUGAAUUAUAC